CCUAUCAGUAUCCUGAGUAGGGCGGGACACGUGAAAUCCCGUUUGAAUCCGCGAGGACCAUCUCGCAAGGCUAAAUACUAACCAGUGACCGAUAGUGAACCAGUACCGUGAGGGAAAGGUGAAAAGAACCCCGGGAGGGGAGUGAAAGAGAACCUGAAACCGUGUGCCUACAAGUAGUCAGAGCCCGUUAACGGGUAAUGGCGUGCCUUUUGUAGAAUGAACCGGCGAGUUGCGUUAGUCAGCAAGGUUAAGUCAGAAAAGACGGAGCCGUAGCGAAAGCGAGUCUGAAGAGGGCGAGCAGUUGGCUGACGCAGACCCGAAACCAAGUGACCUACCCAUGACCAGGUUGAAGGCGCGGUAAAACGCGCUGGAGGACCGAACCCACGUAAGUUGAAAAUUGCGGGGAUGAGUUGUGGGUAGCGGUGAAAUUCCAAACGAACUUGGAGAUAGCUGGUUCUCUCCGAAAUAGCUUUAGGGCUAGCCUCGCAAAGAGGAUGCUGGAGGUAGAGCUCUGUUUGGACUAGGGGCCCGUCAAGGGUUACUGAAUUCAGAUAAACUGCGAAUUCCAGACAUUUAUGUGCGGGAGUCAGACUGCGAGUGAUAAGAUCCGUAGUCGAAAGGGAAACAGCCCAGAUCACCAGUUAAGGUCCCAAAAUUCAUGCUAAGUGGAAAAGGAUGUGGAGUUGCGCAGACAACUAGGACGUUGGCUCAGAAGCAGCCAUCAUUCAAAGAGUGCGUAAUAGCUCACUAGUCGAGUGACGCCGCGCCGAAAAUUUACCGGGGCUAAGCAUGAUACCGAAACUGUGGAUGUGCAUUUAUGCACGUGGUAGGAGAGCGUUCUAGCGGCGGUGAAGCAUGACUGAGAAGACAUGUGGAGCUUCUAGAAGUGAGAAUGCCGGUAUGAGUAACGAAAGACAGGUGAGAAUCCUGUCCGCCGCAAGACUAAGGUUUCCUGGGGCAGGCUCGUCCGCCCAGGGUAAGUCGGGACCUAAGGCGAGGCCGAGAGGCGUAGUCGAUGGACAACAGGUUGAAAUUCCUGUACUGCACCGAAUCGUUAUGAGCGAUGGAGGGACGCAGGAGGCUAGCAGCGCGUGGUGCUGGAUACCACGUUCAAGCGUCAAGUCUGAGAGCGAGUCAAAUGCUUGCUCUCAUAAGGACAAGGCGUGAUGAGGAGCGAAAUUAAAGUAGCGAAGGCUGCGACGUCACACUGCCGAGAAAAGCUUCUAGCCAGAGACGGUGCACCCGUACCGCAAACCGACACAGGUAGUCGAGGAGAGUAUCCUCAGGUGAGCGAGAGAACUCUCGUUAAGGAACUCGGCAAAAUGGCCCCGUAACUUCGGGAGAAGGGGCGCUGGUCGCAAGAUCAGCCGCAGUGAAAAGGCCCAAGCAACUGUUUAUCAAAAACACAGGCAUCUGCAAAAUCGUAAGAUGAAGUAUAGGUGCUGACACCUGCCCGGUGCUGGAAGGUUAAGAGGAGAGCUUAGCGCAAGCGAAGGUUUGAAUUGAAGCCCCAGUAAACGGCGGCCGUAACUAUAACGGUCCUAAGGUAGCGAAAUUCCUUGUCGGGUAAGUUCCGACCUGCACGAAAGGUGUAAUGAUUUGGGCACUGUCUCAACGAGAGACUCGGUGAAAUUAUAAUACCCGUGAAGAUGCGGGUUACCCGCGACAGGACGGAAAGACCCCAUGGAGCUUUACUGCAGUUUAAUAUUGGGUAUCUGUCAAGCAUGUACAGGAUAGGUAGGAGCCGGAGAAGAUAGGACGCCAGUCUUAUC
rnacentral:rRNA from 1 species